UGCAAUCAUGAAUCUGACUGUACCUUCAGAGUUUGAGGACCACUACUACUUAUACUAUCAACCCACUACCAGGAAAAUUAUGUGAAGAGAAAAAAAUACAAACUUGUAUUUCCACCUUAAAAUGGAUGGAAUUGGAGGAGGUACAGAUGACAUAAAAUGAGCAGUAAGCAAUAUUCUUCUAAAAUAUGAUGGAUAAUCCCUUUCCAUAGACAUAUGUUCACUCCCAAGCUAAUUGACCUUCAGAUGAAGCUAUCAUUCUGAUAUCUGUUCAAGAAACAAAGAUGUUCAUCAACUGAAGACCAUGCAUCAAGAGUGCUGGAGAUGCUGGAUCAUCCUCUAAGCUGUUGAUACUCUUCAUACAAGUGUUCAUGCUGGUGCUUCCUGGAUCUUACCAAAUAAUGAGAAGAGGUUUUCAUACCAGCUAGAAUGGACAGUUUUUCUCAAAUUAUGAUUGAAUCACUUCCUGACUGAAACAUCCAGGAAUUACCUUCAUGUUGUCACACCAUCAGGAAUACUAACCCAGUGGAUACAUGCACGACAAUGACAUCAAAAGUUGGUAAACUAGAAUUGAUUAAAUAUAGAAUGUUCCCAGUCAUUUGUUCCCCUCUCUCACAGGAGUAAAACGAGAUGUGUCAAUAUGUACAGUCCAAAUGAAAUUGAAGGUCAGGCACUUUUCUAUGGGAUGUAGGCUUUGAUUCUAAUAGCGUCCAUGUAGAUCCAACAUUUAUUUGUAAUGUGUUCAUUUUUACAAACCUUAUUGAGAGUCCAUUGUAUGGACACAUAUUAGGUAAGGUAUCAGAAAUUCAAAAUGACUAAGUCUUAGCCACUAAGACAGGGACGAAUAUGGCCCCCUGUCAGUGAGGGUAAGUGAUCCUGUAAGCAAACGGAACACAGUGACGGGAGGGGCAAGGGGAUACAUGCGUGGGGCAUGCAGGUGGGACAAAGGACCUCGAUGGCUUCUGCUUGGACCUGAGAUAGGAAAAUGCUAACUCCAGGCCAGCAAUGGAGGAAAGGGCACUGCAGGCAAAGGGGGUUCCUCAAAGGGAAGGCUGUGUUUCCUGAUUUUUUUUUCAAUUUUAUUUGAAGCAUCCUGUUUGUGUUCCUUGCACUGAUAGUCUGAAAUAAGCCAUUUCUCUUUUUUCUUUCAGGAAUUGCCUACUGCCUAUUUAUAACUUUUAUCUAUUCUCCUCUUGGGUUAUGUUCAUUUAUUGACUUGCAGGAACUUUUUACGGGUUUUGGACAUUUAUUCAUUAUAAACUAUAUAUUUUGCCAACAUAUUCCUCCACUGCUAUCACUUGUUUUUUAAUUUUGUUAAUAGCAGCUUUUAUAUUCUAAGUUUAAAUAUUUCCCCCAUCAACUCUGUUAGUGUUUUCCUUUAUGGUUUCUAGGUUUUAGAUUUACUUGCGAAGGUCUUCCCUCCAUCUAAGACAUAGUCUAAAAUUUCUCACGUUUUCUUCUCUCUUAAUGAUUUUUUACAUUAAAGUCUAAAGCUAAAACUUAUCUUUGAAUACUACAUGUGGUCGGUAUAACUUUUCCCCCAAAAUGCAUGUUGAAUUUAAAGCUAUCCUAGAUUUUCUGUUAGCUCUUACCAGAUCGUUAUUAACUUAGAAAAUGACAGGCAGGAAACUUUCAGUAAUCCAUGCCAACAAAGAAAAGUAGUGUCAUAAAUGAAAUAAAACUACUCUGUUAGUUUCAAAUGUCAGAAAUUGCCAUCAAAAUAACUUUAGUAAAAUGACAUUUUUGGCUCUCAUAAAGCAAGAAAGAUUUGUCCUCAAGAAUGGGUGAAUCUGGGGAUUUGGAAGUCAUAAAGAUCAAGUUUGCCACU